rnacentral:rRNA from 1 species
AACGAACGCUGGCGGCGCGCCUAAUACAUGCAAGUCGAACGAGAAUGUGUAGCAAUACACAUGUACAGUGGCGAACGGGUGAGGAAUACAUGGGUAACCUACCCUCGAGUGGGGAAUAACUAGCCGAAAGGUUAGCUAAUACCGCGUACGCUUCCCGGACUGCGGUUCGGGAAGGAAAGCGAUACCGUGGGUAUCGCGCUCUUGGAUGGGCUCAUGCCCUAUCAGCUUGUUGGUGAGGUAACGGCUCACCAAGGCUUCGACGGGUAGCUGAUCUGAGAGGAUGAUCAGCCACACUGGCACUGCGACACGGGCCAGACUCCUACGGGAGGCAGCAGUAAGGAAUAUUGCGCAAUGGGCGAAAGCCUGACGCAGCGACGCCGCGUGGGGGAUGAUGGUCUUCGGAUUGUAAACCCCUUUCGGGAGGGAAGAUGGGAUGGGGUAACCCAUUCGGACGGUACCUCCAGAAGCAGCCACGGCUAACUUCGUGC